UGUCAUGGCCCCACCCCCCUGAGCUUGUUUCCAUUACACACCUGCUCCUGAUCAUCGUUACCGUUACCACUACUUAAACUGUGGCCUGACAUCCAGUCUCUGCCGGAUCGUUAGACGUACCACCUCUGCACCCUGGAGACCCAUUCACUCCCGCCUAGCCACCCUCACCACCGACCUGCACGUUUGUUACCAUCACCUGUACCCACCUGUCACCAAUAAAUACCUUUUUUUUUCACCACCUACCAGUCCCGGUCUGCAUUUGGGUCCUAUCACUGGGAUUUGUGACACAAAUAUGUUAUGCACAAAAGGGCAGGUGUUUAAAGCACUGUAUGAAGAAUCAAAUAAAAUCCCUCUUGAUAUUCCCCUUCAGAGAUGCUGACAAAGAUGAAUAUUUCUGUAUAUACUGUAGCACAAAUCAUUUGUUUUCCUAAUACUCCAUGUCAUAUGGACUGCAGAACAGCUGAGAUAAGCACGUGCUUAGCUGCAAGUACACACAUCAUAUAUACUUAUGUUCCUUGUGUUGAUGAAUUGUCUCAAAGUCUAUACAAAGAACGCUGGAAGUGCGUGUUAAUUUGAGAAUAAUGGAAUGUGUGCCACAGAAUCUGAUUUUCUUAGCAACUACCAUGGACACUGACAGGAAAACUUGUUCUUGUGGAAAAGACAACAGAGUUCUACUGUUUCCUUGUUCCUUGUUUAUCAUCCGGAGUGGAAACAUACUAAGAAUCAUAAAAAUAAACUUUUAGUUUGAUUAUCUACAGAAAUUAAAAGAUAGAUACUUAACAUAACGGGCAGAUCUUAAGACGAAAAAAUGCUUGUAGCGUGAAAACAUAUUUGAAACUUAUCAAAAUGUGUCACUUUAAAUAUCUUAUAAAUAAUAUCCGUUCCUUGCACUUUGUAUUUUAAAAUAAAGCUUUAGACCAUCAUUUUCUCUGCCUUCUGCUGGAAAUAUCACUCUUGAUUUAAAACAACAGAAUCAAUAAACCGCAGCUCAGCACAAAAACAACAGACUUUGCACUCAAAUGACAAAUAAAUUCAUGGCCUCUAUGUACUGUAUCUUCUAUACACUUUCUCAUAUACAAAUAAUAAAAUAUGUUUCUUCAACAAAACCAGGCCUCUCUAGUCUGUUCACUA